CUCAUAUAGGAAGACACCAGCAGAAGUGCAGUUCAUCAGCCCUUCUCCUUACCGGUGCUGUAUAAUGUUCCAAGUCAGUCCGUUUUUAUGGAGUUAUUAAAAGGUGGGAAAACUGGAAAGAUUGAAUGUCCUUUGGAGUUCACAAAGGUUUGGCAGUGGGAUGAGAAAAACAAAACGAAGCAUAGUGGGAGUGUUGAACAGACUUUCCCAAGAUUCCCAGGAGUCUAUGAUGCUGCUCAAACCAAUAACUUUACUGCAAGAAAUGACAACUUCAUCUUUCAGAGAACCACAGAUCAGAUGCAGAAAAGUAAUUCUUGGAUAAAUUAUAUCAUGGGAGAUACACAGCUCAGCUACAAAGUCCAGCGAUGCAACAGACAAAAACAGAAAGAGUCAUGGGAAAACUUGAUGCUGAAAUUAGAAUUCCUAGCAUUGACUGUUACUUCUGUGGGGGGUUGGAGCUGAUGCCUCUUGGAUUAACAGUGCUUCUUUUUUUUAAUUGUACUUUAAGUCCUGGGGUACAUGUGCACAUCCUGCAGUGUUGCAGCAUAGAUACUCAAAUGCCAUGGUGGUUUGCAGUCUCCUUCUGGUGGUCUCCUACAUCAGGCUUUCUCCCAGUGUUUUCCCUCCCCAGCCUCCCCGCCCUCUGCUGCCCCUCCCCUAGCCCCCAGCCUCCAACCUACUCCAGUGUGUGAUGUUCCCCUCCCUAUGCCCAAGUGUUCUCAUUGUUCAACACCCUCCUAUGAGUGAAAACAUUCAGUGUUUGGUUUUCUGUUCUUGUGUCAGUUUGCUGAGAAUGAUGGUUUGCAGAUUCAAAGGACACAAACUAGUCAUUUUUUAUGGCUGCACAUUAUUCCAUGGUGUAUAUGUGCCACAUUUUCUUUAUUCAGUCUAUCCUUGAUGGGCAUAUGGGUUGGUUCCAGGUCUUUGCUAUUGUAAACAGUGCUGCAAUGAACAUACAUGUGCAUGCCUCUCUAUAGUAGAAUGAUUUAUAAUCCUUUGGGUAUAUACCCAGUAAUGGGAUUGCUGGGUAAAAUGGACUUUCUAUUUCUAGAUCCUUGAGUAAUCACCACACUGUCUUCCACAGUGGCUAAACUAAUUUACACUCCCACCAACAGUGUAAAAGUGUACCUUUUUCUCCACAUCCUCUCCAGCAUCUGUUGUCUCCAGAUUUUUAAUGAACACCAUUCUAACUGGUGUGAGGUGGUAUCUCAAUGUGAUUUUGAUUUGCAUUUCUCUGAUGACCAGUGAUGAUGAGCAUUUUUUUUUUUUUUUUUUUUUUUGAGACGGAGUUUCGCUUUUGUUACCCAGGCUGGAGUGCAAUGGCGCGAUCUCGGCUCACCACAACCUCCGCCUCCUGGGUUCAGGCAAUUCUCCUGCCUCAGCCUCCUGAGUAGCUGGGAUUACAGGCACACGCCACCAUGCCCAGCUAAUUUUUUAUAUCUUUAGUAGAGACGGGGUUUCACCAUUUUGACCAGGAUGGUCUCGAUCUCUUGACCUCGUGAUCCACCCACCUCAGCCUCCCAAAGUGCUGGGAUUACAGGCUUGAGCCACCGCACCCUGAAUUUUUUCAUAAGUUUGUUGGUCGUACAAACGUCUUCUUUUGAAAAGUGUCUGUUCAUUUCCUUCACCCACUUUUUGAUGGGGUUGUGUACUUUUUUCUUGUAAAUCUGCUUUAGUUCUUUGUAGAUUCUGGAUAGUAGACCUUUGUCAAAUGGGCAGAUAGCAAAAGGUUUUUCCCAUUCUGUUGGUUGCUGGUUCGCUCUAAUGAUUGUUUCUUCUGUUGUGCAGAAACUCUUAAGUUUAAUUAUCCCAUUUGUCUAUUUUGGCUUUUGGAUUCAUUUUUAGGAUGCAUAAAAGGAAAUUACCUGUCUAUGAAGGGCAAUUUGGUGUGCUUCUCAAAAAUACAAACAAAAAAAGGAGGAAAAACAACCACAUUCUGAAUUCUAACAAUUAUUAUUUUUAGGAAUUUAUCUUACAAAUAUGUUCACUCAUGUGAAAGAGACUUACAUACAAAGACUAUUUGAAAGAAUUGUUUGUACUAUUAAAAGACUGAACACAACUAGAUCUGGAAGGAAACAAUAAAUUAUGCAAAUCCAUUUAGUGCA
rnacentral:lncRNA from 13 species